AUGAAAAAUGAAGCCGGCGGAGCAGGUGCGAAGUUCUCAGGAGUAAUACCGCUCACAGGCGGGGUGCCGGGCAGGGGCCGAGGCGGGGCCCCAAAGGGGGUUAAGGCACAGGCAGGGGUCCCUGUGGCCACGCUGGGAGGGCUACCCGGCCCUCCUCUGUGCAACGAAGGAGCGGCUGGUGGACCGCAAAGCCCCUUGGGCAGCGUGAGGGCCUCCAGCUCCUCAGUCUGCAGGGUGGUGGAGGGGCCGCGGAGGGCUCAGCUGGCCCUGGGGCCCCGCCUCACGGGCAGGGACGCUGCGGGGCCUGGGGCGGGCGUGGGCCAGCCCUCAGCACCGGGCGGAAGGCCAGGGCCCUGGGCCCUUAGCAAGGAGGCGAGCUGGGCGGGUGCUGCGGGGCUCGGGGCCGGGCCGGCAGGGACGCGCAUGCGCAGGGCGUCCGGCGGGAAGGCCACGUUGGUGCAGAAGAGCCCGAGCAGCAGUUGCCGCUGGCACUCCUCCCAUUUGGCCAGUACAUCCCCAGCGACAGGCUGUUGCGCAUCCAGCUGGGCAGCACCUCGCUGUAGGCGGCGCAGGACAGCGGCACGGAGGGCAACGAGCGGGCGCGGGCGCAGCACCACCUGCCCGACAGCCUGCAGGAGAGCAGGAUGGAGGGAGGGUGGGCUUGCGUGCGGGUCGCCUGGGAGGCUGCGGGCGGGGUGGGCACGGCGGCGAGGGCUCACCUGGAGGGCAGGUGGUUGCCCAGCUUCCUCUUGGCGUAUCAUCAGGUACUGGCAGAUGCUGCCCGCCUGCUCCUUCAUCCACCGGAUGUCCUCAGGGACGCCAGGCAGCCACUCGAGCAAGCUGGGGCAGGCGCAAGGCAUGGCCUCAGGGACCGCAAGGGCCGGCCCGGUCUGUGCCCUGGCUCUGGGGCCCGACAUGGCAUCUCUGCAGCAUCUUAAACCAGCUGUCUCUCUCUCUCUUGUGUCUUUGUGCCCACCACCCAGGAAUGACUCCCAAGUCCAUCCUGGGGCCCGCCCCUGCUGCUCACCGGAUGGUGAAGGACACCGCGCUCUCCAGGGGCAGAGUGUAGGGCACCAUCAUGGCCAUGGCCAGACGACGGGCAGCAUGUUGGAGAGUGUGGUCAGCAGGUCCGUGGGCUCCAUGCAGGCCUCCAGCAGGGCUGUGGGUACAGAAGGGCGGUAG
rnacentral:lncRNA from 1 species